GAGUUUGAUCCUGGCUCAGGACGAACGCUGGCGGGUGCUUACACAUGCAAGUCCAAACGGAAAGGGGCUGCUUUUGUGGGGUGCUCGAGUGGCGAACGGGUGAAUAACACGUGAGUAACCUGCCCUUGACUUUGGGAUAACUUCAGGAAACUGGGGCUAAUACCGAUAGACUCUUGUGGGGGGGUUGAAAGUUCGGGUGGGGAUGAUCCGCUUAUACUUGUUGGGGGGGAUGUUAACAAAGUUUACCGGGGAACCCGCCCUAGAAGGGACCCCCCAUUUUGGACUGAACCCCCCCCAAAUUCUCCGGGAGGCACAGUGGGGAAUAUGCCAUGGGCGAAGCCUAUGCAAACCCCGUGUGCGAGACCCUUUGUUUAACCUUUCCCCUAAAGGAGUACGAAAGUGGUAAAAAACCCGGUUAAUUAUCCAAAACCCGGGGGUAAAUAGGGGCAGCCGUUUCCGAUUUAUUGGGCCAAAAAGGCUCUUAAGCGGGUUAUGCCCCAAAGGUAAUUUUGGGGCUUAAACCUGAACGGCUUUCAUACCGGUUGACUUUGGAAAGGGGGGGGAAAUGGAAUUCCUGGGGGGGGGGGAAAGCCCCAAUUAAA
rnacentral:rRNA from 1 species